UAUAUACAUUGCUUGAACGUAGAUUUCACAACGGGACCAUCAAGCAAGAAUAAUGAUUACGUACUUGUUCUAUACCUGUAAACAAAGUGUUUUUAUCAUGAGGAAGUGUAUUCUAGCACGUUGCAAUAAGACAGAUAUUGGCUAGAAGUUAUUCUAUGAAUAAAGAACGGCUGGUGAGGCAUAAAAUGCCGGUUUGUUGUUGCGCCGUCUCUUUCUACUGCGAAAUACGGAGAUGAUAUUGAUUUGUUUUCAUGGCGUCUCUCUUUUACUUGUGGGCGCGCAUAAGUCGAUUUCACCCGUGUGACCUUCCUUAUUUGUACUUCAAGUACGCGGUCAGAUAAGUUGUUUUCGUGUCAUCUCGUUCUGGCACUAGAAGCAAAAGCAAAUGAGGAAGACGCCAUUAAAGGUACGAUGUGUUGGUGCGUGGUGUUGGCGGCCUGUAUUUUUAUGUGUGUGUAAAGUGUAGAUGUGUACGUGGAUCAGGGAUAGAUCUAUGAUGGAACUUCAUACUGACUGGUACUGUUUAAGCCUAUAAAAAUAUUAAUUAUUAAUGAACAAUUAAUUAAUCAUUGUUUUAAUGGAUUAAAGUUAAUACAGGUUAUUUCAGUUAUCAGUUUCCGAUGAAAUUAUGAGUAAAAGAAACUAAUAUUAAUGUAAUAAUGUACCGAUUUGUUCAUUAGUUUUUUAUUUAAAUUGAUGGAAUGACAGGUUAAAGCACAAGACAAAGAGGGAGCUUUUUUAAACCGGGAUUAAAAAUCUCGCUGGGUACUUAUUGAUGGACGAACGAAGUCGUGUAAUGUAACAGAUAACGUUACACUAUAUUAACAAACAAAUUAAUGUAAAGUAUCCAAAUUGCCACGUUUUGUUUCUGAAUUCAUACAAUCUUUCUCUUAUAUGUAGACCUAACUGUGAAAGAACGAUUAAAGAUACUACGUAAUAUGUUAUGUAAAAUUUUAAGGAAAUUAAAAAAU